rnacentral:rRNA from 1 species
GCGGAGGAAAAGAAACCAACAGGGAUUGCCUUAGUAACGGCGAGUGAACCGGCAAAAGCUCAAAUUUGAAAUCUUGCAUUUUUGCAUGAGUUGUAAUUUGAAGAGGAUGUCUUUUGUCUUGCUUGGGGUUUAAGUCUCCUGGAAUGGAGCAUCAUGGAGGGUGACAAUCCCGUUUCUGGCUUCAAGUUUUAAGACUUUAUAAGACUCCUUCAAUGAGUCGAGUUGUUUGGGAAUGCAGCUCUAAAUGGGAGGUAAAUUUCUUCUAAAGCUAAAUACAAGCUAGAGACCGAUAGCGAACAAGUAGAGUGAUCGAAAGAUGAAAAGUACUUUGGAAAGAGAGUUAAACAGUAUGUGAAAUUGUUGGAAGGGAAGCAUUUGCAAUCAGAUCUGUGUUGUUGGAAUUCACCUACACAAUUAUUGUGCUUAGAGCAUUUUCCUUCAAUACUUGUCAACAUCAAUUUGAGUAGUGAUAAAAUCUUAGUCAAAAUGUAGCUCACUGAGUGUUAUAGUUGAUUUUGCUUAUCACUAACUUAGAUUGAGGAACGCGAUAGCAUGGAUGUUGACUUAAUGGUUGUAAGUGGCCCG